GACGAACGCUGGCGGCGUGCUUAACACAUGUAAGUCGAACGAUGAAGCCUCUUCGGGGGUGGAUUAGUGGCGAACGGGUGAGUAACACGUGAGUAACCUGCCCUUCACUUCAGGAUAAGCCUUGGAAACGGGGUCUAAUACUGGAUAUGACUCAAGCUCGCAUGGGUUUGGGUGGAAAGAUUUUUUGGUGGGGGAUGGGCUCGCGGCCUAGCAGCUUGUUGGUGAGGUAGUGGCUUACCAAGGCGACGACGGGUAGCCGGCCUGAGAGGGUGACCGGCCACACUGGGACUGAGACACGGCCCAGACUCCUACGGGAGGCAGCAGUGGGGAAUAUUGCACAAUGGGCGCAAGCCUGAUGCAGCGACGCCGCGUGAGGGAUGAAGGCCUUCGGGUUGUAAACCUCUUUCGUCAGGGAAGAAGCGAAAGUGACGGUACCUGAAGAAGAAGCACCGGCUAACUACGUGCCAGCAGCCGCGGUAACAC
rnacentral:rRNA from 1 species